GCUGGGAUAGCUCAGUUGGUACAGAAUGAGACUCUUAAUCUCAGGGCUGUGGGUCUGAGACCCACAUUGGGCA